rfam:Mus musculus chromosome 6, GRC primary reference assembly.
AACCCCUGGCAAUGGAUAAAGGGACACCUUGGUGGUGGUGGUGUUCUUCUAUCAGUCAGGGGCAGAGCAGAUGGCAUGGCAGUCCUUUGUUCACCCUAGCUUGAUGGCUGGCUCAGUGGCCUAAGCUGUUUUAUGCCUGGGAGACAUAA